GACGAACGCUGGCGGCGUGCCUAAUACAUGCAAGUCGAACGCAGUUUCGCACGGGUGAGUAACGCGUAGGUAACUUCCUCAUAGCGGGGGAUAACUAUUGGAAACGAUAGCUAAUACCGCAUACUUUCAGAUGGACCUGCGUUGUAUUAGCUAGUUGGGGAGGUAAAGGUUCACCAAGGGGACGAUACAUAACCAGGCUGGGAGGGGUAUCGGGCAAACUGGGAAUGGGACACGGCCCCGAAUCCUCAGGGAGGCAGCAGUAGGGAAUCUUCGGCAAUGGGCGGAAGUCUGACCGCGCAAAGGCGGGUGAGAUAAGAAGGGUUUCGGAUCGUAAAGCUAUGUUCAUAGAGGAGCGGUAACUAACCAGAAAGGGACGGCUAACUACGUGCCAGCAGCCGCGGUAAUAC
rnacentral:rRNA from 1 species